rnacentral:misc_RNA from 1 species
GCGGCUGGAUCCCCUCCUUUCUAGGGAGUAUUCCGGUAUCGUUUGCUUGAAAAGCAAUAUGCCGGCAAUCCCAGGUAAAUCGCCCUUUAUGAGGGUGUUAUGAGUAAAAUAGCUGUUUACUCGCAAAAUUCCUGUCACUCUUUAGUUGUUAAGGUUGAUACGGGCCUGUAGCUCAGUCGGUUAGAGCAUCCCUCUGAUAAGGGGAAGGUCAGUAGUUCGAGUCUACUCAGGCCCAUUGUGAGCGGGGAUGUAGCUCAGCUGGGAGAGCGCCUCCCUUGCACGGAGGAGGUCAGGGGUUCGAGUCCCCUCAUCUCCACAGAUGUGUAUUUGACAACUAAGUUGAGCUGUAGUAAAAUGUAGCCUUACUUGCCAAUCUAACUGCAGAACUGAAUUAAUGCAAAAUUCUAUUUCGUCAGAAAUAACAUAGCCACAAAAAAGGCAUGUCAGCGGGAGAUUGUAAAAGAUCCGGCGGUGUGCCGGAUCUUUUUGUGUCUUUGGUUUGAAUUGUUUUCUGAUGGGUAACCGUUUUUUACAAGUGGUUAGCCUUCAGCAAACAAUCAGGUUUGCUGGUAAUACUUUAACAACUGAAUAGAACGGGUAGUUCAAUGAACCGAAGAAGCAUGAUUGAUUAAGCUACUAAGGGUGCACGGGGGAUGCCUUGGCGUCAAGAGCCGAUGAAGGACGUGGUUGACUGCGAUAAGCUCCGGUAAGCCGUCAGCAGGCGUUAUUAACCGGAGAUUU